CAUGUAAAUGACAACAUCAGAAUGAUCAGAAUGCAACUAAAACUACUAACCCAACUACUAGCAGCAGACAGGCGCCUAACAACAACAACAACAACAACAACAACAACUAGCAACUAGACGGACCAGGCGGCGGCUACCAGGCAACCAGGCAACCAGGCAACCGCAUCUGAUCAGUUGCCCAGUCGGCCAGUCAGCCAGUUAGCCAGUCUAUUAAUCUAACCACCAGCAACAGCAGUAGAUCAUCUAAAAGUUAAAGAGAGAAGAGUGCGCCAUGGCCGGACCUCAAGUGCAGCACACGCAGCGACCCAACAGCGCCUACUACACAGGCCUCAAUGGCAGCGGUGGCUCCAACGGAGCCUCAGGUGGAGGUGGAGGAGCUGCAGCUGGAGCUGGUGGGAUGGCGAGCAGCGCCUCGCAUACGGGACUGGGACUGCAUGCACUGCGUCAGGUGUCCAAUGAGACGGAGCUCAUCUAUCGCGGCAGCCACACCAAUGGCACCGUCAACGAGCUCACCGGGGGACGGCAGCUGACGGGCAGCAACAGUCGGAUCAUUCAACAGCAGCCGGCGCACAGUUCGCGGGACAAUAUUGUGAGCAGCAUUGCGGGCACUGGGAGCUGUGCCACCGAUGCACUCAUCGGUACCAUUUCCACAAGUGCUGGAGCUGGUGGUGGAUCUGGAGGAGCUGGACCUACUUCGGCAGCUGGAGCUGGCAGCAGCAAUGCGUCGGCAUUAAAGAAAUCGAAUACGCAGCGAAGUAUUGAGAUCAUUGUGGAUGCGUCGCAGUGUGGCAAGGAUGCUGUCGCCGAUCUCGAUGAUGUGGAGCAGGGCGAGGGCGGUGGCCAGGAGUCGUCGUCGUCGGUUCGCAAGUCGUCGCGUCAUCGCCAUCGGCCGCUGCAUCGACGUCUCAUCAGCUAUCUGCGUAAUUUGUUCCAGGGCAGCGCCGCACAGAAUGCUUUGACUGAACUCCUCUUGGCCUUGGGCUGCAUCUCGAAGCAUUCGGAACUGGAAGAAUUCGAGACGCCAGCUCGCUACAGACCAGACUCACUGAGCGCCCUGAGUCGUGCCACCCGCUUCACAGAGGAUGAAAUCAAACGAAUUUAUCGCGGUUUUAAGGCUGAGUGCCCCACGGGCGUUGUCAAGGAGGAUACCUUCAAAGUGAUCUAUUCGCAGUUCUUUCCUCAGGGAGGUUCGUGCGCAAAUCCAACAUUAUAUGCACAUUAUGUAUUCAAUACACUGGAUCAGGAUCACAGCGGCAUUGUCAGCUUUGAGGACUUUGUUCAAGGACUCUCGAUACUGUCGCGCGGAUCCGUCGAGGAGAAACUGCGCUGGACCUUCUCGUUGUACGACAUCAAUGGCGACGGCUUCAUUACGAGGGAAGAAAUGACUGACAUUGUGACUGCUAUAUACGAGCUGAUGGGCCGCCUGCCCGACGAGUGUCCCGAGGAGGAGAAGAUCAAAGGCAAAGUGGAGCAAAUCUUUCAGAAAAUGGACAUUAAUCGCGAUGGCGUCGUGACGUUGGAGGAGUUCUUGGAGGCGUGCCGCAACGAUGAUGCCAUAUCCAGGUCGAUGUCUGUCUUCGACACAGCAUUCUGACCAUAUCCGACUGACAAGGGUGAUGAGUACACGGUGCGGCGACGACGACGCAGUCGCAGCCAGCAGCAGCAAGAACAGCAACAGAAACAGCACAAACAUCAUCAGCAGCAAAUGGAGCCGGAGAAACAAAUAUGCAUAGCAACAAAAUAAAUUAUGAACGACGAAGUGAGAGGCGAAUAUGUGAAAUUGAAACCGAGCGCGAAUUGUCAAGCUAAAACAACUGCGAAAUGGCCAUAAAUAUAUGCAAUUAUCGACAAGAGUGUGAAUGUGUUUAUGUUUGACACUUGUGAGCAGCACACUACGAUCAUAGACAGCACUGACAAACAGCUAUGGAAUAAGUUACCGAGUUCACACAAAAUGUUAUUAAUAUAUAUUUCAUUUAAAAAUAAAUAAUUUACAAAUUGAAGCUAACAAAUUUCGUUAGUUUAAGCAAUAGUCGACGUUUUCAAAAAUAAUAUAUCAUCUAAACUAAAAUUUGCAUCGUUUUCGAUAAUGAAAAAGUUGUCGAGAUUCAACAGAAACUACUUUUAUGGUUGAAAUGAAAAGUGAUUAAAAAAAUUAUGAAAGCAAUGCAAUAUUGUAUAUCUUAGUACAGUGUUUAAUAUCUUUCUGAAAAGUUGCUUUAUUUUCGAUAAAUCUAGAGACAGAGAAAAAGUUAUCGCAACUCAACUGAAACUACUUUUGAGGUUAGAAUGAAAAGUGAUGCAAAAGUGAUGAGAAAAAAAUGCUGUGCAAGAAAUAUGUGCUAUGUCUGUAGAGUAGAUAAUGCGUGACUAGAACAAAGUGCUGACAUUCACACAAACACACACACUUCGAAAGAGAGAGUCAAAGACAUUGGCUGCAUAAUUUAUGAAGAGCAAAACUGUUGCUGCAUUUAUUGGCCACUCACGUUGUGGAGACAACCAGCGAUAAAGUUCUCGAUAUGCAAUUAUCGUCAAUUUGCCGAAAAUGCAAUUUGCAUUGCCAUUGCCCAGAUUCCCCAGAUUGACAAACGUGCUCGGGGGCUCAUGUUCGCAUUCGUGUUCGUGUUCGUGUUCGUGUUCGGUAUUCGAAUACACUCGAAUACACUCGUACACAUGUGUAAGUAUAGUAUGUAAUGUGUGUGUGCGCGAUUUUAAUUGAUUGUAUUGCUCGAUGGGGCGUGCCCACAAAAGUAUGCAACAGCAUUUUCCCAAUGACUGCAUGCGUAACGAAAGCUUUAUUCCAAAUAUAAAUAAAUAUAUAGAAAGAACUACCGACUAGAGAACGUAUGUUAAAUAAAAAAUAAAUAAAUUGAUUAAACGUAAUAAUAGUAAAUUGUAAAAAACAAAAAUAUUAGAGAAAUGCUAUAUUUAUACGAAAUGCAAAACCAUACGAAAAACUUAAUAAGAAAAGUAAAAGUAAAAGCAAAAGCAAGACGAAUGUCGAGUGUCAUUUCUCUCUUUCAAGUUAUUUUGCCAACAGCUGUUAAAGUUCCGGAACUGCCAACAACAAAUUUACAUAGAAUUAUGAUAAACAACAACUGAACAACAAAUUGAAAUCAAUGUGCUGAUGGUAAACAUAUCAGAAUUUACCAUUUCGACAAAAGUUCGUGACAGUUACAGUUACAGAAUUAAACUUAUAAACGAAGAAAUUGCAAGUUCAAUAAAUGAAAAUGAAAAGAGAAUGCAAAAUAGUUAAUACUGUUGCCCAAGUUUUUUGGGUUGAUUGUGCUUUUAAAGUCACUUCUUCAAUCUGAUCGAAAAAUCUAUACCGAGACCUUAAUGUAAUUGAGGGAUCUAAUGAGAGCAGCUAAUACCAACAAAAAUGAAUCGAAUAACGAUGACAACGUAUUCAUAUUUUGUUGUUGUUAUUAUUUUUUGCAUUGAUGCUAUGCAAAGUUUCAAUCCGUAAUCUCAAUAGAAUAAAAAUCACAUACAUAUUAAGAGAAAGAGAUUAACUGGACGAAAAUCUAUACUUCAUAUACAUAUACAUACAUAGCGUAUACCUAACUUAUGUAAUUGUGUGUGCGUGUGUGUGUGUGUUUAACAAUAAAGAACAAAUCAAAUGGAAGCGCAAUGCUUGAAUCUAAAAUUGGACCACAAAAGCCAUACAAAAAAAAAAAACGAAAAACACAAACUAAAACAAAGCAAAAAUCUUAAAUGUAGUAGUUUUCAUGAAUAACAAAGAAUAUAUUCAUAUUGUAUGUAUAAAAAAAAAAACUCAAAUACGAUAUUUAUCAAAAAAUAUUGGUGUAUUGUAUUUUUAUAGAUAGACCUAAGAUACACACAACACACAACACAACACAACUACGAGUAUUAGGCAAAAUUCUAUUGUUCGCCACAAUCGAAGUCAACAAUAGCUAAAAAAAAAGCCCAGAUUGAUAAUUGAUGUAAAUAGUUAGUCGUUUAUUUUUGAUGGUCAAAGUACAGAACACAACACACAGAAAACUAUAUGAAACGAAAACGAAUCAAAUCACUAAGAGAUAAAUAUAUAUCCGAACUCAAUUAAACGGAAUUGGAAACAUUUGAUUCAUGUGCCCCAUCACACACUAUUUUUUUUUUGGAUAUUAUCCGUUCAAUCUACCAUGAAUAUGUGUAUCUAUAUAUAUAUACAUAUAUAUAUUAUUAGCUGUAGUCUUCCAAUAACACAAAUCUCAACAGAACUCCAAUCUGCCUUGGCCUGCGAGAAUGAGAAUGAGACAAAGAACAAGAACUAGAAAACGAAAACGAAAAAGAACCAAGAGCGAGUGCAAAGAAACUAUAACUAAUCCACUUAGACAACCUGUAGCAAUUUGGUACCUUAGCUGAAACACCUAAAAAAGCUUUCAAUUUUACAACUAAACACACACAAAUACAAUGUCUGCACCAAGUGCGGUAGUUAAAACCAAAAAACAAAAUACAUACACACAAACCAACAUUUCAGCAACAACAACAAGAAGAACCUAAAGACAUUUCAAUUUCUCGAUUUGUCGCACUAGAAAACUGUGUCCAAUUUAAAAGUCAAACAAAAAACUAAAGAAAACCCCAAUUAAACAAUAAAUGUUAUCUUAAUCAAAGCAUAAAUUAAAGCGAAAAAAAACCAAUAUGAAAUUCAAGUUAAAAGUUAAAAUUAAAAUGAAAUUGGAGAAGAAAAAAAAACACGAUUAACAAUAGUUACAGAAUAUUGCAUUAUUUUUAGAUAAAUGUUGACACUGAGUACGAAUACGGAUAAUUAUGAGAAUUUAAACCCUUAAGCAACACUAACUACUAAAUCUUUAACUAUAUCUAUCGUAUAUAUUUAACAACUUAGCCUCGACAAUUUAAAACUCUAACUUCAUUCAUUAUUACUAACUAACUAGAUAAAUCUAUACUAAACUAACUUUGCUCCUUCGAAAUAUAUUGGUUUCUUGUUAUUUAACUAACUAAAAAAAACGAAAUGAGAUAAUACAAUAACAAUGUGAAACUAUUAUAGAGUAUACAACAGAUACUUUACCCUAUACAAAUGAAAACAAAACCGAAGAAAAGCACGACAAUAUGCCAACUGUUCAAAAUAAAAGAAAGAAAGACCCACUCAAUGCCAAGCAAAUCAAAUAAAAAUCAAAUCAAAUCGAAUCAAAACCGAUAUUCACCCACAUUGAACACACUUUGACCCACCCAAAGAAAAAAUAAAAACUGCGUUCUCAAAUAAUCAAAACAAAAAAAAACAAAACGAAAAACACUAGAAAUCUUUAAUCUUUACAAAGGGUAUUCAAUUAGCUUGAUUGCGGUCUGAGGCAGUUGGAAUGUGAAGAGUUUUGACUAAGCAGCACGUUUUUUACUGCUGCUAUUCCUUCAAUCCAAUCACUGUGGGAUUGUGUACAUACAUCCAUAACAUCAUCUUUUCAGCAAAUGGAUAAACCGAACAAUAAACCGAACAUUAAGAAAUUUUUUCCAAAAUCUGCUGUGUUUCAAAGAGAUUGAAGAUUUGCUGCAGCUUGGAGUACUGUAAUUACUUCGCAUAAGGAAUCGUAGUCUAGUAAUUAGAAAAGUGUCAAAAUUUGCAAAACGGAAUAAAUAAGUAUUACGAGUCAAAUUUCCGUUCAAAAAAUUUCUGGGCCUAAGCCUAAAUCAAAAGAAUCCAAUAAAAACGAAAGAGUGUUAUACAUAAUUGUAUAUAGUUUAUACUUGUUCACGUUGGUUUUUUUUUUAAACUAAAUUUUAUAAAACUGUUAAAAUCAAAUUUUACCAAAAAA